CCCCUCUCAGGGUCGCACCUGGAGAGUUUCCAGUACUCUACCAGUCUCGGCUAUGGGAGGGAGAGUGAAGCAGAGGCCUACCCAUUCCAUUCCUAGUUUGGGCAAUGGCUAGCGAGUGGAAGGCAAUUAGCAACAAGG
rnacentral:snoRNA from 1 species